rnacentral:hammerhead_ribozyme from 1 species
GUCCAACUGACGAGUCCCAGAUAAGACGAAACGCGCGUUAUGGAU